ACGACCUUACUUGAACAGGAUCUAUUUUAUAGGCUCGUACCUUUGUAUCUUUAAGUUAAAAGGAGACGGUUUUCUUAUCUGGUUGAUGAUGUGUGAUCUUAGCGUGAUUGCUAGUCUGGUGGAGCCCUUGCAGGUUCACCUCGACCACAGAAGGUCGUUCUCAGUUAGCCUUGUGCCGCUGGAAAGGUCACGCAGUUGUCUGACAGACU
rnacentral:snoRNA from 1 species